GCUUCAAGUGAAUUUGAGAUGCACAGAAUUAUAUGUUCUCUCCAUCAAUUAAAAUUCCAUUAAAUCCCCCACAUAUACGCUGAUUGUGGGUAUUUUAAUACUUCAAGUUGACUGAAAUGUACAGAUACAGUAGUUAAAUUCCUUCUUCCCCCUCAGGUUUGAUGGCAUUUAA